UACGUAGGGUGCGAGCGUUGUUCGGAAUUAUUGGGCGUAAAGGGUGCGUAGGCGGCUUUGUAAGUUAGAGGUGAAAGCCCAGGGCUUAACCCUGGAAUUGCCUUUAAGACUGCAUCGCUAGAAUCGUGGAGAGGUGAGUGGAAUUCCGAGUGUAGAGGUGAAAUUCGUAGAUAUUCGGAAGAACACCAGUGGCGAAGGCGACUCACUGGACACGUAUUGACGCUGAGGUGCGAAAGCGUGGGGAGCAAACAGG
rnacentral:rRNA from 1 species